UACGAAGGGGGCGAGCGUUGUUCGGAUUUACUGGGCGUAAAGGGCGCGUAGGCGGCCCUCCUUGUCGCGUGUGAAAGCCCCGGGCUCAACCUGGGAAUUGCGCGCGAAACGGGGGGGCUUGAGUUCGGGAGAGGAGCGUGGAAUUCCCAGUGUAGAGGUGAAAUGCGCAGAUAUCAGGAGGAACACCAAUGGCGAAGGCAGCUCGCUGGGACGGUACUGACACUGAGACGCGAAAGCGUGGGGAGCAAACAGG
rnacentral:rRNA from 1 species